GUUGGUGAGGUAACGGCUCACCAAGGCAACGAUGCGUAGCCGACCUGAGAGGGUGAUCGGCCACAUUGGAACUGAGACACGGUCCAGACUCCUACGGGAGGCAGCAGUGGGGAAUAUUGCGCAAUGGGGGAAACCCUGACGCAGCACCGCCGCGUGAGUGAUGAAGGUUUUCGGAUCGUAAAACUCUGUCUUUAGGGACGAUAAUGACGGUACCUAAGGAGGAAGCCACGGCUAACUACGUGCCAGCAGCCGCGGUAAUACGUAGGUGGCAAGCGUUGUCCGGAUUUACUGGGCGUAAAGAGUAUGUAGGUGGGUGCUUAAGUCAGAUGUGAAAUUCCCGGGCUCAACCUGGGAGCUGCAUUUGAAACUGGGCAUCUAGAGUGCAGGAGAGGAAAGUGGAAUUCCUAGUGUAGCGGUGAAAUGCGUAGAGAUUAGGAAGAACACCAGUGGCGAAGGCGACUUUCUGGACUGUAACUGACACUGAGAUACGAAAGCGUGGGUAGCAAACAGGAUUAGAUACCCUGGUAGUCCACGCCGUAAACGAUGAAUACUAGGUGUCGGGGGGUACCACCCUCGGUGCCGCAGCAAACGCAUUAAGUAUUCCGCCUGGGGAGUACGGUCGCAAGAUUAAAACUCAAAGGAAUUGACGGGGACCCGCACAAGCAGCGGAGCAUGUGGUUUAAUUCGAAGCAACGCGAAGAACCUUACCUAGACUUGACAUCUCCUGAAUUACUCUUAAUCGAGGAAGUCCCUUCGGGGACAGGAAGACAGGUGGUGCAUGGUUGUCGUCAGCUCGUGUCGUGAGAUGUUGGGUUAAGUCCCGCAACGAGCGCAACCCUUAUUGUUAGUUGCUACUAUUAAGUUAAGCACUCUAACGAGACUGCCGCGGUUAACGUGGAGGAAGGUGGGGAUGACGUCAAAUCAUCAUGCCCCUUAUGUCUAGGGCUACACACGUGCUACAAUGGCUGGUACAA
rnacentral:rRNA from 1 species